rnacentral:rRNA from 1 species
AUUGAACGCUGGCGGCAUGCUUUACACAUGCAAGUCGAACGGUAACAGGUUAAGCUGACGAGUGGCGAACGGGUGAGUAAUGCAUCGGAACGUGCCCGAUCGUGGGGGAUAACGCAGCGAAAGCUGCGCUAAUACCGCAUACGAUCUGAGGAUGAAAACGGGGGACCGUAAGGCCUCGCGCGAUCGGAGCGGCCGAUGUCAGAUUAGGUAGUUGGUGGGGUAAAGGCCCACCAAGCCGACGAUCUGUAGCUGGUCUGAGAGGACGACCAGCCACACUGGGACUGAGACACGGCCCAGACUCCUACGGGAGGCAGCAGUGGGGAAUUUUGGACAAUGGGCGAAAGCCUGAUCCAGCAAUGCCGCGUGCAGGAAGAAGGCCUUCGGGUUGUAAACUGCUUUUGUACGGAGCGAAAAGGUCCUUUCUAAUACAAGGGGCUCAUGACGGUACCGUAAGAAUAAGCACCGGCUAACUACGUGCCAGCAGCCGCGGUAAGAC